UACGUAGGUGACCAGCGUUGUCCGGAUUUACUGGGCGUAAAGAGCGCGCAGGCGGUCGUUCAAGUCGAGUGUGAAAGCCCCCGGCUCAACUGGGGAGGGUCACUUGAUACUGAUCGACUCGAAGGCAGGAGAGGGAAGCGGAAUUCCCGGUGUAGUGGUGAAAUGCGUAGAUAUCGGGAGGAACACCAGUGGCGAAGGCGGCUUCCUGGCCUGUUCUUGACGCUGAGGCGCGAAAGCGUGGGGAGCGAACAGG
rnacentral:rRNA from 1 species